rnacentral:rRNA from 1 species
UACAGAGGUCCCGAGCGUUGUUCGGAUUCACUGGGCGUAAAGGGUGCGUAGGUGGCAGGGUAAGUUUGAUGUGAAAUCUCCGAGCUUAACUCGGAAACUGCAUUGAAUACUAUCCUGCUCGAGGGUUGGAAGGGGGACUGGAAUUCUCGGUGUAGCAGUGAAAUGCGUAGAUAUCGAGAGGAACACCAGUGGCGAAGGCGAGUCCCUGGACAACACCUGACACUGAGGCACGAAAGCCAGGGGAGCAAACGGG